AGUGAACGCUGGCGGUAGGCCUAACACAUGCAAGUCGAACGGCAGCACAGUAAGAGCUUGCUCUUACGGGUGGCGACUGGCGGACGGGUGAGAAAUACAUCGGAAUCUACUUUUUCGUGGGGGAUAACGUAGGGAAACUUACGCUAAUACCGCAUACGACCUACGGGUGAAAGCAGUGGAUCUUCGGACCUUGCGCGAUUGAAUGAGCCGAUGUCGGAUUAGCUAGUUGGCGGGGUAAAGGCCCACCAAGGCGACGAUCCGUAGCUGGUCUGAGAGGAUGAUCAGCCACACUGGAACUGAGACACGGUCCAGACUCCUACGGGAGGCAGCAGUGGGGAAUAUUGGACAAUGGGCGAAAGCCUGAUCCAGCCAUACCGCGUGGGUGAAGAAGGCCUUCGGGUUGUAAAGCCCUUUUGUUGGGAAAGAAAAGCAGCAGGUUAAUACCCCGCUGUUCUGACGGUACCCAAAGAAUAAGCACCGGCUAACUUCGUG
rnacentral:rRNA from 1 species